UGCCAGCCGCCGCGGUAAUACGGAGGGUGCUAGCGUUGUUCGGAAUUACUGGGCGUAAAGCGCGCGUAGGCGGGCGAGUAAGUCGAUUGUGAAAACCCCAGGCUUAACCUGGGACGUGCAGUCGAUACUGCUUGUCUUGAAUGCUUGAGAGGAUGGCGGAAUUCCCGGUGUAGAAGUGAAAUUCGUAGAUAUCGGGAGGAACACCUGAGGCGAAGGCGGCCAUCUGGCGAUGCAUUGACGCUGAGGUGCGAAAGCGUGGGGAGCAAACAGGAUUAGAUA
rnacentral:rRNA from 1 species